rnacentral:other from 1 species
AUAUCCCUGCUGUGUUCGUGUAUUACCGUUAAGUUUUUGCCAACACAAAAACAAAGGGAGCCUGGUCUCUGUAUGUACGCUCGUAUGCCUUUUAUUUAAAGGACACCGCAAUCAUACAGGAGGGCACCCACCUGCUGAGCAGGUUAAAACUGCGGUGUUUCACGACUCGGUGGGGUUUUU